rfam:Camelus ferus unplaced genomic scaffold scaffold83, whole genome shotgun sequence.
GAGGGUAUAGCUUGGUGGUAGAGCACAUGCUUAACAUGCAUGAGGUCCUAGGUUCAAUCCCCAGCACCUCCU